AACGCACGAGACCUGCGGACCUGCGGAGGGAUCAUUACAGAGUUACUAAACUCCCAAACCCAUGUGAACUUACCUAUGUUGCCUCGGCGGUUACCUACCCUGUAGCUACCCUGUAGUUACCCGGUAGCGCCGCCGGUGGACCAUCAAACUCUUGUUUUAAUAUGGUUAUUCUGAGUAAUUACUAUAAUAAGUCAAAACUUUCAACAAUGGAUCUCU
rnacentral:misc_RNA from 1 species